rnacentral:sRNA from 1 species
ACCCCUACUUGGCUUCCCUCUCUCACUCCCCUGCCCCCCCACUCCCAGAGGCCUCUGUGUCCAAGAAGAAACGCAUGUGUGUGAAGCUGUUGCCCCUGGGAGCCGCGGACACGGCUGUGUUUGAUGUCCGGCUGAGUGGGAAGACCAAGACAGUGCCUGGAUACCUUCGAAUAGGGGACAUGGGCGGCUUUGCUAUCUGGUGCAAGAAGGCCAAGGCCCCGAGGCCAGUGCCCAAGCCCCGAGGUCUCAGCCGGGACAUGCAGGGCCUCUCUCUGGAUGCAGCCAGCCAGCCAAGUAAGGGCGGCCUCCUGGAGCGGACACCGUCAAGGCUGGGCUCUCGGGCAUCCACUCUGCGGAGGAAUGACUCCAUCUACGAGGCCUCCAGCCUCUAUGGCAUCUCAGCCAUGGAUGGGGUUCCCUUCACACUCCACCCACGAUUUGAGGGCAAGAGCUGCAGCCCCCUGGCCUUCUCUGCAUUUGGGGACCUGACCAUCAAGUCUCUGGCGGACAUUGAGGAGGAGUAUAACUACGGCUUCGUGGUGGAGAAGACCGCGGCUGCCCGCCUGCCCCCCAGCGUCUCAUAGUCCCUCACCCGUUGGCGGAAAAAGCCCCCUUACGCCACCUCCCCGCCAGCCUGGGGCCACCCCGCCUCACUGCAUCCUGGGAACCUCUGCCCUGCAAGGCAUUUGCUAUCUUCAGCCAUUGGGCGGAGCUGCAGCCCUGGAGGGGCGGGUCGAGGCUGUGUGGUGAUGGGGUCUCCGUCCCCACGCCCUGCCGGGCAGGGCUGGAGCUGGACAGAAGCCAGUGCCUUUAAGCCAUUCGUGUCAAAACCCUCUGGGGUCCGGAGGCUGUGCGGGUGUCCUCCUGGCAAUAAACACU